rnacentral:rRNA from 1 species
GACGAACGCUGGCGGCGUGCUUAACACAUGUAAGUCGAACGAUGAACCCGGAGCUUGCUCCGGCGGAUUAGUGGCGAACGGGUGAGUAACACGUGAGUAACCUGCCCUUGACUCUGGGAUAACUGCUAGAAAUGGUAGCUAAUACCGGAUACGACCCUCGGUGGCAUCACCAGGGGGUGGAAAGAAUUUCGGUCAAGGAUGGACUCGCGGCCUAUCAGCUAGUUGGUGAGGUAACGGCUCACCAAGGCGACGACGGGUAGCCGGCCUGAGAGGGUGACCGGCCACACUGGGACUGAGACACGGCCCAGACUCCUACGGGAGGCAGCAGUGGGGAAUAUUGCACAAUGGGCGCAAGCCUGAUGCAGCAACGCCGCGUGAGGGAUGACGGCCUUCGGGUUGUAAACCUCUUUUAGUAGGGAAGAAGCGUAAGUGACGGUACCUGCAGAAAAAGCACCGGCUAACUACGUGCCAGCCGCCGCGGUAA